rnacentral:rRNA from 1 species
UACAGAGGUCUCAAGCGUUGUUCGGAUUCAUUGGGCGUAAAGGGUGCGUAGGCGGCGCGGUAAGUCGGGUGUGAAAUCUUGGAGCUUAACUCCGAAACUGCAUUCGAUACUGCCGUGCUUGAGGGACUGGAGAGGAGACUGGAAUUUACGGUGUAGCGGUGAAAUGCGUAGAUAAUCGUGAAGGAAGACCAGUGGCGAAGGCGGGUCGCUGGACAGUUC